CCGAUCAGAAGGGAGAAAAGAAGUCUGGUAAUACACAGCUGCACAGCAUAUCCACAGCAGAUGCAAAGGACCGCGCAGCAUGCCUGUAAUUCCAGCAUCUGAGUGCUGAGGCAGGAGAAUUGCCAUGAGUUUGAGGUCACCCUAGACUGCACGGGUGAAGUUUUUGAGACUACAAAUAAACGCUGUUUUGGUUUAACACAUUGGAUUGAUUGAGCAUAAAGAUUUACUUCUCUUCCCUUUGGAGACAUCAUUAAGAACUGCACUUCUACUUGGGAGAGACUUGUGGCAGUGAUGAAGACUGUGGAGCACCUGAAGCCCUACUACUCCACCCUAAGUGCCACUUUUGCUACUUUUAUGUCUAUAAAAAAUUUCUUAAGGCCAUGAUUGAUGGCACAUACCUGCAAUCCCAGCACUCAGGAAGCUAAGGCAGAAGGAUGGCAAGUUGAAGCCCAGCCUAGACAACUUAGUAAGACGUCAAACAAAAGAAGUGCUAGGGAUGUAGCUCAGUAGUAGAGCACCCCUGAGUUACUUCCCUAUAUUCCCCCAAAUCCCUUGAGGUAGUCCAGAGGACUGAAUAAAAGAGGAAACUUGGUAAUCUAUGAGUCCCCUUGAAAAGGUACAGGAAGCUAGAAGUACAAAGGAGUUUCAUUACCUUCUAUUAUUUGUAAGAAUCUCAUUCCAAAUUAUAUAGGAUGUGGUAUACCCUAUUUGGAGUUUCUUUUUUAACUAUAAGAAUCUAUCACUUUUUGGGUUUUUUUUUAAUAAAAAAAAAAGCCAUACUGAUAUUUGAAGUAAACCAGGAAGUGGGGCUAAUCUUCAGGUAAUUUGUUUCCACUGAAUUCAGGGCCGUGGAGGCAGGAUGACUGAUGGGUGGGACAUCCUGGUGUGGCAGCUGAGUGUCCUCUCUCAGGCGGAGAUGAGAGACUAUGCAGUCAAUACAGACAGAUACAGGGUAGAAAGGAUGUGUUCUUACAUGAAGUCCACCUUCUUCCUUCUGGACUCUUUUCGUUAGAGAAAUUGGAUAGAACAUCAAUUUUACUCAGCCAGAAAUUUUAUCAUAGUACACCUAGGACUCCACCUCCUGAAACACUUUCUUAAACGGACACUAGAUAGAGUCUGAGGAAGUCUCCCAGAGAGGACAUGAAGCCCUCAACUUGAUCUACUGAGUAAAUUCCUGAUUCUUAUCACAGAAACGAUAAUUUUAGAAAAUGUCAGAGUCAUAAAGGGGCAGGCUUAUUCAGCACAGUUAAGAAGUAAAGGAGAUUAGUGAAAGGACUCCAGCCAGAGUAACUUGAGGGGACUCAUUCUGAUGCAGGGGUUCAGACUGGCCCACACACAAAAGCAUGAGGGAGGCUAGCUUUUAAGGACCGGCUGAGGUGGGCUAGGUUCUGAUUGAUCAUUAUCUCAGUUUGGCUUUCCAGGGCACCAGAGGACUCCUUAUGGCUCUAGGGGCAAUUUGUUUCCCAUGAGAUGAUUAUCAUUGCUCUGAAGGGGGCUGCCUUGUGUUCAUGUCAAGGGAUAAUUGUUCUUCUUUUGGGGAGAGAUGACCUCAUCAUAGGGAGAUUGGCCAGUCUCUGCUUUUCCUGGAACCCCGGUUAUUGUAGAAAUGGAGAUACCUAGGCUUUACUCCCGGGAGCCCUGUAACUGGAUAUUGUGAAAGUUGUCAAUUGGGUGUUCUUGCAAAUGCUGAAAAUGAUUUUAGUUACUCUUACCUUGGUGUCCUCGUCUUGAAGAGGGAUGAGAUAGAUUAAGCAAAUUUGGGGCUAAUAAAACUUUUACAGGCAAUACCUAAGUGAUUAGCAUGCCUAUAUGCACAGCUGAGCAGGGAUCUGCUCUAAAGUUUUAAGGUAAUAAAGGAGACAUAUGAAAUGAAGGCAGAGAUGCCAAGCUUUGUCCUGCUUUUAGUUACUAUCUUAGUUGGGGCUAGGGAUUUAGCUCAGCGGCAAAGUGCCUGCCUGGCAAGCACAG